GACGAACGCUGGCGGCGUGCUUAACACAUGCAAGUCGAACGAUGAUCCGGGUGCUUGCACCUGGGGAUUAGUGGCGAACGGGUGAGUAACACGUGAGUAACCUGCCCUGGACUCUGGGAUAACCCCGAGAAAUCGGAGCUAAUACCGGAUAGGACCUUUCCUCGCAUGAGGUGGGGUGGAAAGUUUUUUCGGUUUGGGAUGGACUCGCGGCCUAUCAGCUUGUUGGUGAGGUAAUGGCUCACCAAGGCGUCGACGGGUAGCCGGCCGGAGAGGGGGACCGGCCACACUGGGACUGAGACACGGCCCAGACUCCCACGGGAGGCAGCAGUGGGGAAUAUUGCACAAUGGGCGCAAGCCUGAUGCACUAACGCCGAGUGCGGGAUGACGGCCUUCGGGUUGUAAACCGCUUUUAGUAGGGAAGAAGCCUCUUGGGGUGACGGUACCUGCAGAAAAAGGACCGGCUAACUACGUGCCAGCCGCCGCAGUAACAC
rnacentral:rRNA from 1 species